rnacentral:rRNA from 1 species
GAACGCGAGGGGGUCCUUCGGGACCCUAGUAGAGUGGCGCACGGGUGAGUAACACGUGGGUAAUCUGCCUUUGGGUGGGGAAUAACGUUCCGAAAGGGACGCUAAUACCGCAUAACGCAGCGGCACCGCAUGGUGACAGUUGUUAAAGGGGGGGAUCUUCGGACCUCCUGCCUGAAGAGGAGCCCGCGCCCGAUUAGCUAGUUGGUGGGGUAACGGCCUACCAAGGCGACGAUCGGUAGCCGGCCUGAGAGGGCGGUCGGCCACACUGGCACUGGGACACGGGCCAGACUCCUACGGGAGGCAGCAGUGGGGAAUUUUGGGCAAUGGGCGAAAGCCUGACCCAGCAACGCCGCGUGAAGGACGAAAUCCCUCUGGGAUGUAAACUUCGAAAGUUGGGGAAGAAAUGCUCACAGCGAAUAGCUUUGAGAGCUGACGGUACCCAACGUAAGCCCCGGCUAACUACGUG